rnacentral:lncRNA from 1 species
GCCAUUAAGCCAGGUAUAUUAUAAGGUAAGGAAUUUACUUGCACACAUGGCUAAAGCCUGUGUCCCAGGUGCGUGGAGAACACGGUCCCAGACUGAUCUGAAGGCCCCACGCUCCUUAUGGAACAUGAGAGCCACGGCGUGCACACCACGCAGUGGCCUGUUCUCACAGCCACGCCAUGGCUCACUGCCAUCUAAGGGUGUCAUCCUGCAAAAACAGCGGCUGCUGACACUGACAUUCUGUUUUUCCUCCUUUCAUAUCGCACUGUGCCCUGUACUCCAUUUCCUGCCUGUCUCCUAGGGGGCUCGGCUCCAUCAAUUAUCUCCUCUCUCCAGAAUCUCCAAUCACUCCUUCCCCACUGGCACUUUCCCCUCUUUGCCUGCAGACAUGCAUAAAUCUCUCCUACCUGGAAGAGAAGAAAGGAAGAAACAGGAAGGCGACCCGCUCCUGUGGCUCCCUCCAACCACAGCCCUAUUUUCUCCCUGUUUCGCUCAGAGAGAACCUGCCUGAGAAUGAAGCCAACACCGAGAACACGAGUCGAGAGAUGGAGGAUCCUGAUGACAACCUCUGAACUCCUGGAUCCAGCUGUGCCUAAAGUCAAACUCCUGGUGGCUUUCUGGCCUUUGCAUCCGCACGAGGCUUAACAUGUGGCAGAAGGAACUACCCAGAUGGAUUCUCGUGACUUCAGUUUAUGUGAUUUGAUUUCCACUGACUAAAAUGAAUGGCCUGGGUUGGUCUGCAAGCGCACCAAGGAGACAGCACCGAAUGUCACGUGUCAGGGAUGCUGCCUGAGUGUGCGAGGCAGGCAGGGACUUUGCUUUCAUUCUGCGUCUGCUUUCUAACCUAUUCUCCCUGAGUUGUACACUCUGGGUUUAAAAGCAGAGGAGUAGAUGGCCGGGCACGGUGGCUCACGCCUAUAAUCCCAGCACUUUUGGAGGCUGAGGUGGGUG